AAUCUUGGUAAGUAUUUCAUUAUUAAAUAAUAAUAAUCUAUAUAUAUAAAGCCAAAUGUUUGUAUGUAUGUGUGUAUGUCCAGUUUUGAAAUUGUUCUUCCAAAUGAGUUAUAAUGUUAAAAUUUUGCACAUAAUCAUAUAAUGCUAUCAGCUGAUGGGAAAAAUCCGAAAUUCAUGAUAAGUCCCCUAGGACAAUUAUUAUUAUUAUUAUUAUUAUUUGUUUUUUUUUGGAGAACAGAGACAGUGAACUUUUUCUACCAGGGGUCAGGGGUUCUUUCAAAAUGGAGUCGCAUACACAACCAUGAGGUAGACCGAAGAAAAUUCAAAGAGGAAAACAAACAAACAAAAAAAACAUGAAAAUGAUACUUCCAGAAAGCAUUUCGAAAGGUCUUCUGAAAGUUUAGAAGAAACUCAAGUAAGACGGAAUGAGGAAAGGAAUAAUAGAUUAAAAAUGAUGUGCUUGGCCGCCAUAAAAAAUGAUCCAAAGAUUCUGAGGGUGAAAGGGCUGCUAGAUUACAAAGAAUGACCUCUAUUGCCGUACCGGAGACUAUAUGCUCAAAAGCAGUAUCUGUGCAGCUACAUCACUGGGUUGUGAGCAAAAUU
rnacentral:lncRNA from 1 species